GCCCAACGUUGGAGAAGAACCCAUGGCUGAAGAGGAACCCAAUGUUGGACCCAACGUUGAACCCAACGGCGGCGUUGAACCCAACGUUGAUGAAGAACCCAAUGUUGGACCCAACUUUGACGAAGAACCCAACGUUGAGGAAGAACCCAAUGACGGCGUUGAACCCAACGUUGAAGGAGAACCCAAUGAGGAACCCAAUGGUGGGGCCAAGUUGGAUGAAGAACCCAACGUUGACCCCAUCGAUGGUGUUGAACCCAAUGUUGGACCCAACGUUGACCCCGUUGACCUUGACGUUGAUGAAGAACCCAACGUCGGCCCCAUUGACCUCUUUGAAGACGAAGAACCCAACGUUGGACCCAACGAGGAUGAAGAACCCAACGAUGACGAAGAACCCAACGAUGAUGAAGAACCCAACGUUGAUGAAGAACCCAACGUUGACCCCGACAACGGCGUUAAACCCAACGUUGAGUCCAUCGUUGGCCCCGUUGGCCUCUUUGAAGAUGAAGAACCCAACGUUGGACCCAACGACGACGAAGAAACCAAAACUGGACCCAACGAAGACGACGAACCCAACGUUGGAUCCAAUGAAGACGAAGAACCCAAAAUUGGCCCCAAUGAAGAUGAAGAACCCAAAGUUGGAUCCAACGAAGACGAAGAACCCAAGAUUGGACUCAAUGAUUGUGAAGAACCCAAUGAGGACCCCAAGUUUGGACCCAACGACGACGAAGCACCCAAAAUUGGACCCAACGAAGACGAACCCAAAAUUGGACCCAACGACGCUGACGAACCCAACGUUGACCCCAACGAAGACGAAGAACCCAAAAUUGGACCCAACGAUGAUGAUGACGAACCCAACGUUGACCCCAACGAAGAUGACGAACCCAAAACUGGCCCCGAUAAAGAUGAAGAACCCAAAAUCGGCCCCAACGAUGACAAC
rnacentral:lncRNA from 1 species